rnacentral:rRNA from 1 species
ACGUACACUCCUACGGGAGGCAGCAGUGGGGAAUAUUGGACAAUGGGCGCAAGCCUGAUCCAGCCAUGCCGCGUGAGUGAUGAAGGCCCUAGGGUUGUAAAGCUCUUUCACCGGAGAAGAUAAUGACGGUAUCCGGAGAAGAAGCCCCGGCUAACUUCGUGCCAGCAGCCGCGGUAAUACGAAGGGGGCUAGCGUUGUUCGGAAUUACUGGGCGUAAAGCGCACGUAGGCGGAUCGAUCAGUCAGGGGUGAAAUCCCAGGGCUCAACCCUGGAACUGCCUUUGAUACUGUCGAUCUGGAGUAUGGAAGAGGUGAGUGGAAUUCCGAGUGUAGAGGUGAAAUUCGUAGAUAUUCGGAGGAACACCAGUGGCGAAGGCGGCUCACUGGUCCAUUACUGACGCUGAGGUGCGAAAGCGUGGGGAGCAAACAGGAUUAGAUACCCUAGUAGUCCCAU